UACGUAGGGUGCAAGCGUUAAUCGGAAUUACUGGGCGUAAAGCGUGCGCAGGCGGUUCGCUAAGACAGAUGUGAAAUCCCCGGGCUUAACCUGGGAACUGCAUUUGUGACUGGCGAGCUAGAGUAUGGCAGAGGGGGGUAGAAUUCCACGUGUAGCAGUGAAAUGCGUAGAGAUGUGGAGGAAUACCGAUGGCGAAGGCAGCCCCCUGGGCCAAUACUGACGCUCAUGCACGAAAGCGUGGGGAGCAAACAGG
rnacentral:rRNA from 1 species